GUAGGUAGGCAUGAACUCAGAAAGGGACCUGGUUGCCAUUGUAAGGAACUGGGGUUUUGUUAUGAAGCUUACCAGGAGUUAUUGAGGGAUUCUAAUGACAGCUAUGAUGUGUUCAGUUUUGCCUUUUAGAAGCAUCGCUUUGGUGGCAGAGAGGAGAAUGGCUUGAAAAGGGUCAUAUUGGAAGCCAGAGGACCAGUUAGACAGCCACGGCAGGCCCCCGGUGAGAGGUGUGGGAAGCCUAAGAUAAGGUGCUAGCAGUGUGGGUCCAAGGGCGUAUUCAGGAGAGUGAACUGGAAGAGACCUAUAAUCAGUCAGAUGUGGGAGGUGGAGCGUCUGGAGUGACCAUCAGGAUUCUGACUGGGGAAUUUGAGAAGAUGGUUGACACUUCUCAUCAAAAGAAGGAAAAUGUAAAGGAGGUGGACUCUGAGGAAAAGAUGAGAACCAGAGACCGCUCUCCAUCUCUCCCGUUCUCUCUCUGGUGUGACAUCUCAGAAGGGAUUGUAUAACAAAUAGUAGAAAUUCAGUAUAUGAAAGAUCACCGUUGGAACAUAAUUCUUACCUUUGAGCCAAAAGAAUAGUUAUAUAAACACAAGUUUCCUCUGUCUUCUCUCUCAUGUAUGCACAGGUGUGUGAGAAUACACACACAUGCACACACGCUCUUGCUUAGGAAGAAGAAUCAGAUUCAGUUAUACUUUCAAUGACAUGCCCUUGAGAAAAGUCAUUUUUUUCAUGGAUUUUCCAUACACCAUCUGGGAUGCCCACACACUUCCUCGAGUGUGGAGAUGCUCUAUGUGGCAUUGGCACUUUUUUAGGGUGAAUAAUUUUGUAGGUCUGCUGUUUACAUCAGUGGUUUUGCUGUCCUAGUCUCAAAGAACUUUGGGUACAGAAUGUCUUUUCAAGUUCCUGUUCUUAAAAGGCUUGACAUCAGUCCUUCCUGGAAGGGGAGCCUUCAAAACAGGGAGUUCAGCUGAAUUAUUUUAGCUGGCUAAGUUUUUUUUUUUUUUUUUUUUUUUUUUUUUGUAUUUUGGUAAACUUCCAUGAACACAUUUGGAUUCCCACAAACUCAUACAUUUAUGUCUUCACAGUUCUAUAUUUUAACAAGGUCUACAAUGACUUACUAUCCUCUUCAUUGAGUUAUUUUUAUUGUCAGUCACUUCUUAGACAUGUCAUGGUUCCAGACAUGUCACACUCCUGAUGGCUAGCCCUGCCCCAGUUUGUAGGUACCUCUUACUUGCCGCAUGUGCUGUGGCUUCCACAACCGGCUGGUGCGCAGGGUGCGGCUGGCCAACUGAGGCCGGACUGGACCCCCUUACAUCCUGGCCAUGGAGCUCUGAUGUAAGUUUGUGUGUUGACUCAUCUUGAGCACAAAGAUGACUAGAACUGCAGAGUCUUUGCAUAGAUGUGGCUUUUUAGUCAAAUCUUCUGCAUCCAGAUGAAUUUUGAUUCCAGGAACUCAACUUUACACUUGUCUGUAGACUUGGUGUAUGGAUCUAGCCUGUGGUUUAUAAAGACAGCAUGAGGUAAAAUAUGAGGCACAAUAAUAAAUACAACUAAGCUUAUAACUUACUAGAUUAAAUUAUACCCAAUAUUUAGCAUAUUAUGUAUUAAACAUGCAUUAAAUUGAAUAUAUUAGAUACUUAUAAUAAAUAUAAAAUAAUAAUAAUAGUAAGAGUCAAGACUAAAGUGAGACACAUUCCACUACACAUAUGCAUGUGUGUGUGUGUGUGUGUGUGAUAUGCAUUUGUGUGCAUGUGCAUAUAUUUGGCAGUAGGCCAGGGUUUGGUGAGAAGGGGGACUGGGACAUUUUGCCCUGGGUAAGGAGAGUGGAAAAGCUACUGAGCUACUGAUCUGAGCUACUGACCUUGCUGGGCCAUGUGGUGCUGCUUAGAGCUCAACCUUGUGGCCCUGGGUAACUGUGAGCAGUGAGGGAGGUGGAGAAUGGAAGGGGCAGGGGGGAAGGAGGAACUUGGAAAGGGUCAGUGAGGUGUAGGGGAGCCCAAAGCAAAGACAAAGGUUUUGCAGAAGGUGCAGCGUCUGGUUCAGACUCAACCCCAGAUUCAUCCUGGGACGUCCCACAAGUCACUUAACCGCUGACUGCCAUGUCCCUCCCUGGUAGAAUUGGGACACUAGAGCGUGGCUGCAAGACUGAGAGAUGCCCUGUGCAGACUGCCAAACACUCAGCAGGUUCCCACUGCAAUAUGGCGGCCAAGAGCCGAGAGAGCCAGUACUCUGGAGCUCUGGAGCUCUGGAGUUCAGGGAGUGGUGGGUGUGAGGACCACUUGCCAGCUGCAUGACUUUGGGAAGCAGUUAACCUCCGUACACCUCAUUUGCUCAUCUGUAGAAUGGAAUGACCAGAGUGCUUCCAUUGCUGUGUUUUGAGGAGGCUAAAACAGUGAGACAGGGCCUCAAGAGUGCCUUGUCAAAUGCCACGUACAACCUCAAUGUGGGAAAAAUGUUAGCCAUUGCUAAUAAGUGAUGGCCAUCCGAGAUUUUCUCAUGUCCAAUAAUACUGUUUCUGACCUUUCCCAGGGCCACAGGAUGUUUUUAACAUGUAGAAAGUUCUUCAACUGUUUGUUUUCAGUUUUCUUUUUUGGUCCACUUGAACACAGACAUGCCUGUAGAAGAUGUUUAACUUGCAACUUGCACCCAACACAUCAGUCCAAAAAGGCAAUUUACGCGCAAAGACUCAAUCAUUCCACUGGCUACAUCCCUAAAAAUCUUUUCGCAGAAAACCCUGCAAAUAAAUCCAAGUGUAUCGCGAGUCAGAAAAUUGAGUUAUGUCGGUAGCCUGUGCCACCUUCAGUUGUAUUCUGAAGGGGAAGGGGCUUUGUGAGGUGGACCCAGAGUUCUCCUGGAGACACUCAUUCACUGGAACCAUCUGCGCAGAGGCCCCUUGUGGCUCCCAUGGAGAUGAAAUGCUGUCGAGAGCCAUAAUUCCCGCCAGCACGAAAUAGCGGCCAGUGCCCGCUGCAGACCUGAGGGAACCCUCAUUGCUCACUCUAGUUAUGUGGCUCUACACCGGGGCCACAUUGGGGAGGUAUUUUCACAUGGCAUACGAUCCUGCUGCUGCGGUCUCAGAGGCUUGAGACUGCUGUGUGUUCAGCUUUUGUGAUUUCCUCUUGUUGCAAUAGGUUAAUUCUGAAGCUCAGCCAUGGGUGUUUGGGAACAGGCUUCACAUUUUGUGUGUCAGUAUCUUUGCCAGGCUACCAAAGUGCUCUCAAGCUACGCAAUGUCAGAAGCCUGAUUGUAUUGGAGGUAGCAGGCUGGGGGACUGGGAUGGGUUGUUGAAUCACAGUGGGAGAGGGAUCUGGUUCAAGGCCUGAGACUUCAUUGUUCACUCAUCCAAUACUUGUGCCUUGUCUGUUACACACUGGGUGACAAACUCUAUGAGGGAUACGGUAAUAAAUACGAGCUUCUUCCUUCCCUCAAGGUGCUUCCAUUCUGGUGAGCCAGAGGGACAGAUAACUCAAAAGCGAUGGUGGAGUUAAGUUCAGGUGCUGUGGGUCCUUUGCCAGCCUAACGGGGACUGCGUCCUCAGAGGAGAUUUGGGGCUGAGGUUAGUUGGGUGUGAGAGCCCCUGGGGAGAGGAGAGUGGGGAGGGAACCCUGACAGAGCAAAUGGUGUGUUUGCCAGCCUGGGGCGGCGGGCGGGGGUGGGGAGUGGGGAGGAAGAGAGCAUCCUGAAUCAGGCUGAAUUGUUAGCAUUCAGUGUGUUUGUCUGAGCAUAGAUUUCACAUGGUGGGGGUUGGUGAGGUACAGGCCUGGAGAGAGAGGAAGGAUCUUAUCACGGCUUUUGAAAGUGAGACAAGAGUGUUAUUUUGUAGGGUGAUGCGGAUACGUUGAAGGGUUUUAAUCAGGGAUAAAAUAAUCAGACAUUUGCAAGGCCCCCUUCCAGAAUUCACUCAAGAGACCAAAUUACAGAUCUGAAGAUUGUUUGAUGAGUAGAAAAUUAGAGCAAAGGAGAAGAUGAUGUGAAGAAACGUCCCCAACCAAGGAGGCUGGCUGGAGGGUUUGUGUCUCUGUUGUCAGUCGUGGGAUGUUCUGUCCAAAGAACUGAUGCAGUCAGGCAAAACCCUUCCAGCUGUUGACAGCAGCCUCCUUUCUGGAUAAUUCCUGCCUCCAGGGCCUGUGCCAUUAUUGCAUCACUGUGCUCUGUUCCCAAGAUUAGUGCUUAUCUCACACCCAUCUCUUGUUAGAUUGGCAUUUUCCCAAUGAGCUGUCAGGCUCCAGUCAUUAGCGAUAUACCCAGAUUUUGUUUUUUUUUCCAGCGGGUUAUCAUAAGAAUGAUGGCAAGCUCAUGUUGUCUCACUUUGGGGACAGACGCUGUUUGUGGCCAGCAGCUCCUAGUGCACCAGAGAUUAGCCCCUGUAGAUUAGCAAUACGAACAAAAACAUAAUAAACGCAUGCACGCAUGCAUGAAUGAAUGAACGAAUGAAUGAGACCUGAUUGGAUGAGAAGCGGCAUGGUGGGGGUGAAACACUGGAAAAGUAAAGUAGAGGUAUUUAGGUUUGAUUUCUCCUCUUCCAUUUGCUGUGUGACUUUGGGUGGAUGAUGAGAUUUACUGGGGCUUUAGUUUUCUUGUGUAAAAUAUAGUUAAUGGGGCAGUCCUCAUACAGCUGCUGAUAAGACUGGAUGAGUUAAUGUCUUGGAAAAUACUUUGUAAAGUGUUACUUUAUCAUAUAAAAAUAAAGCCUGUAUUAAAGUGCUCACAUUUUUACAAAAAAAAAAAUUACCAGCCCUUUUUUAUUUUAAUCCUCAAAAGAAUCCUUUUUUUAUUCAUAAGAAAACUAAGAGGAAGUUGAGCUGCCCUGCUCAUGGCCCAGGAGCUGUGCAAAGAGACACAGAAGGUCUCCUAGGUCUGUGCUCUCACUGCUACACCCUUCAGCUUCUUAAUGCAAACCGAAGGCUCAUUUAAGUGGCUUCCACCACUAAAUCAAGAACUCUGUGUACUUUUCUCCCUUGGAAUUGGAAGUGCAGACACUCAAUUAUAACUUUUGAUUGCUUGAAAUUAUAGGGCUAUAGAGUUACUGGCACAUGUUUCUGAGGAAAAUCAUACUCCAAACCCUGCGAUAAUCAUCUCUGGUUUUUCGUAUUCAAGAUGGACGCAGGGAAUUUGGCACCAUUAGUCAUAAACUCGCAGUGUUUCCUGGGAUGACUUGAAGCCGACUCUUACAGACAUAGACAGGGGUUGUAUGUACGUAUGUACACGAUUGACUGAAAGCUCCAUGAAGGUACACCUGUGAUGUCCUGUUCAUCGCUGUCUUCCACAACCUAGCACAAAAAAUCAAUCCUUGAUGAAUGAAUGAAUGAAUGAAUGAAUGAGCUACAUUACCCUUUGCUAUAUCCCUUCUAUUGAGAAUGUGCUUGCCUAGAGAUUACCCUUUUAUUUUAUGAUAGACACGCUACACUGUAUUAAUUUGCUAGUGUUACCAUAACGAAGUUCCACAAACCAGUGGCUCAGACAACUGAAAUUUAUUGUCUCAGUUCUGGAGGUGACAAGUCCAAGAUUAAGGUGUCAGUAGGGAUGAUUCCUUCUAAAGCUGUGAAGAAGAACACGUUCCAUGCCUCUCUCCUAACUUCUUUCUGGUGGUUUACUGGCAUUCCUUUCUGUUAGAAGCAUCACUCGUAUCUUCUCUGUCUUCAUCUUCAUGGAAGAUUUCUCCCUCUAUGUGUGUCUAUAUCCAGAUUCCCAUUCUUUUUUCCUCUUUUUUUUCAGAUUCCCCUACUUAUGAGGACAUCAGUUGUAUUGGAGUAGAACCUACCCUGAUGAUUUCCUUUUAACUUGAUUACAUCUGCAAAGAUCCUAUAGCCAAAUAAGGUCACAUGAUGAGGUACUGGGGGUUAAGAUCCAAUAUACCUUUUUCCAGUGGGGGAGCAAUUCAACCUAUAACAAGCAUCAUGUUUUCUUGUUAUUUUUAUUUUGUUUUCUAUAAUUUUGUGAGUCCUGGCAAUGGAUAUUAAGUAUGUCAUUGGUAAAUCCCCCCCCCCAAAAAAAUUGACAAGAUAGGGAAAGACUAAAGAAGAUUGAUAAAAGGUUCAAUAACAUUAUCCUCAUCUCUACUCAUAGGGUAAACAAAACAGACCUAACUUGGGAUAUGGGAUGGGGUCUUACCACAGUCUGUGACAGCCUUCUGCUGAUGUGGCCUGUUCCUUGGGCUUCUGUUAUUCAAAUCAGCCUGUAAUACUGAUCCCAGUCCAGAUGACCACCUGGGCUUCACCCCAGUUAGUUACCAGUAGGCAUAUCUAGAAGAUCCAUCCCUCUUCCCCCCCCCCCCCCACCCCUUUGGUAGAGAUGGUUCUAGAAAGAAUGCAGAGCCCCAUGCUAUUUUUAUUUUGAAAUAGAAAAUAAGAUCUUUCGCUAUACCUGCUAGGUUUUUCUCUCUCAUUAGAGUGAAACAGAUCACUGCCUUGUGGAACAAGUGUUCUCUCAUAAAUGGCAGACAGAAGUUCAAUGGUAUCAGAUCAAUACCAAUUUCAUAUUUAGGCCUGGGGAUUAUUCCCUGACAAGGCAGAUGGGGCAGGGCAUUCUGUCUGCUGCUAGAAUUGUUAGCACAUGUCUUACAUGGGAGGCCAGAGGGCCGAAUGCUUCCCUAGACAGCAUCUUUAGGGUGCCGGGCUGAUGUCUCUGUCAAAAUAGAAAAUACUAAGAUCGCACCCAUGAGAAGGGAUUCUUUAUGCACGGAUUUUUUUCACUUGUAGAUUUUCAGUCUGAAACCCUAACCCAUGAAGAGGGAGAAGCUAAAAUAACUAGAGGCAGCAAGCCAACUCGGGAGAGGUGAUUAGACUCUGGGUGUCUUGUCCAAUGAGCGUUAGUGGGGCUGUCCCCAAGGCUGCUUUGAGGAAAAGGCUCUGGGUGCAGUGCAAGAUGAACUGGGGAUUGAGGGAAGAGGAAUGUGCAGGAAUUAAGGGCUACAUUUUUACCAAAUCACAUUUCCACCUGACAUUUCUACAAAGUUCUAUAUAAAUGGCUUUGGAUUUUUUCAACAGAGGUUUGAGAUAACAAUACUCAAAAUGAAUAUUUUUUUUUGUUUUUAGGCAUGUGGAUAGAAAUUAUUUCUUUCUUUCAGUCUGGCAUUGGUGAGCUCUGCUCCUGGCCAUGAAAUAGUUACCAGGCAGGACUGGGUUUUUGAGAGAGAGUCAUACGGGGCCUGGGGUGUGUUGAGAAAUAGCAGACUCCUGGGGGAUUGUUGGCUGAUGGAGGGUCGCCUGGGAAGCCUGCGUCCAGCUCUCAGGGGAGGCUUCCACUGAUUUAUUACAAGGAAUGGCUCGUGUGAUUAUGGAGGCUGAGAAGUUCCACAAUAUGUCAUCUGCAAGCCAGAGACCCGGGGAAGCUGGUGCUACAAGUCCUAGACUAAGGACAGAAGAACAGUGUCUAGCUCAAGGAGUCAGGCAGAGAGAGCAAAUUCUUCCUUCCUCUGUUCUUGUUCUAUUCAGGCCCUCUGCAUAUCGGAGGAUACCCACCUUCACUGUGGAGGGCAAUCUUCUUUACUCGGAUUAUGAAUUCAAAUGUCAAUCUCAUCUGGAAACACCCUCACAGACACAUCCAGAAGUCAUGUUUAACCAAAUAUCUGGCACACUAUGAUCCAGUCAGUUGACCCCAAAUUAACAUCACACCGUAGUAGAGGGGUGCUCUGCUGAUGACAAGUCAACUUUGCUGACCUGUUGUCCACAACUGCCCCUCCCCCUCUGACCCCAAUAGCAGUCUUAAGACUAUUUAGUUAUACAAAGACUCAAAAAAUGCACCAAAACUUGCUUGUCACAUUUGCUUCCAGUCAGAAUUCCCAGUUCCCCCCAAAUUCCCAUUUAUAAUUUAGUUGAUCUAAAAAUAAACCAUUACAGCAAGAAUUAGUCAUACAUACUAGGGUGUGAAUGGUUAUCUUAAUUUUCUUGAUAAUAUUUGCUAUAUAUUAUGGUCAAGAGAAAGGACUCAAGAGGGGUCAGGCUGCCCAGAUUUGAAUCUUGGGUUUUGCACUUACUACUUGUGAGACAUUCGACAAGUUAUUUAUCUUCUCUCUGUCUCAAUUUCCUCAUCUGUGGACUUCUCCGAUGAUAUUUGCUUGGGAGAUACUUUCGAGAAAGGGUCUUUGUCAAUGACAUCUCACCCAUUCCUAUGCCUCAUGCCCAAAGCUGCCUUCCUAGAAGAAUGUGGGUAUUCUAUUAACCUUAAGCACAUUGAGUGUGUCUACCUUGUGCCAGAUUAUGUUUCUUCCUCAUAUCUUACACCUAUCGUUUGACAUCCCUACUCUCUAAAUGGGAAAAUCUCAGCUCACAGAAGGCUAGUCCUUUGGGGAAUGUUAGAGCUGGUUUGCAGCAGCCCUGGGGUCCAAAUCCUGGCGCUAGAAUUCCAGAUCCAAUAUCCUACCCCUUGCGCCACCACCAGUCGUCCACAUGUAAGCGAUGGCUUAGUGCUGAGACACUGACAAGUGUUGUGAUGGCCCAGGACAGAGGGAGGAACCUGCACGCCGAUGGGUGCCACCUGGUUCCAUGUUUUGGGGUAGCUAGCUCUUCAGUCUUUAUGAACCUCAGUUUCCUCAGAUUUGUCAGACAUGCUACUAAUCUCCUCUAAAAGUAUACAUUUUAAGAAAGCAGUACCAGCGGAAAGUUUGUACUAAAACUUUGUACUAGCAUCAGUGACUUGCCAUAUAAGUACCUGGGUUGUUAUAGACAUUCCCCCGCGAGCCUCUUGGAGAUUUUUCCCUUUCUUCUUCAGCAUCUUUUGGCAUCUUCCCUACGCCCACCACGCACUGACAUUGUGAAGAGCUUUGAGACAUUUCGGAUGAGGCCUUUGUAUAUGAAAUUAAAUGUCAACCUGCUUGAGUUGCCUCCAAAUUUCCCCGGGAGACCUCUGCUGGCAUUUAAUUUCUGAUUAAUAUUAUCCUCUCUGAAACUUUUAAAACCCAAUAUGCUUUUCUUAAAAGUGGCUUUUUUUUUUUCAUUUUAAAAGAUACCUGGGAAGUUCAUGCUCAAGAACUUACUAUACGACCUGGAUCCAUGCACUCUUGAAGAGCCCCAGGUGCUGCGUGCAAGCAUGCUGUGUCCAUUUCUGCACUUGGUCUGGUGCACUGAUGUCAGCCAAUCGAAUGUCUGGUAGUGCUCAUGACCCUCCCCUUUAUGUGCUAUUAGAGAACCAGUGUCAUUUGCUUGCUUGAAGCUCUGGAAAGCUGGAAGCAUUUCCUAAGGUUGAGGCGUGUGACCUCUAAUCAACAUGCGGGAGAAAGCGGCAUGUUCUAACACACGGUUUCUGGCUGACCAUCUGUUCAGAGAGGAGGAUGCCUGUGAUCUGACUUCGCCUUUCAAAACUUAGUUUCAGAGGGAAGAUCUAAGGAGAAUUAAUGGUAAAAAAAAGGCGUGUAAGGGAUCAUAUUAAUCAGUUUGCAGUCACUCAAACUUCAAAAAAAUUUCCUUUGAAAACAACUAAUUUGCACAGCCUCUCGGCCUGUGAUGAUUCUCUAUGAGUUAUCGGCACGGAUUUCACAUCAGAAGCUGUAUGCUGCAAAAUAGAAGACCUUUAAACCUCUGUUCAGUUGGCUCUCGCGCACAGAGACUAAUUUCCCUCUCCCUUUACCUCCAUCCUGCCUCUUUGAAGAAAUUGUUGCAAGGAGCGAUUUUCUGCAUGACCUGUUUCAGGGUCACUUUAUGAAGACAACUUUCCCCAAAGCCCUUCCCCAGCGCUAUUUCAGGAACACUUCUUUCCCAGCCAGUGUGUUGUCAAGGUCACGUGCCUGACUCUUGUGCAGCUGCAACCAGUUCUCCCAGAUUCGCCCAAGGUGGGAGCAAGUCUUUACAGGAACGCAGAGCACAGGGCCAGGGAGGGGACAGCAGGGUACCGCCUGGCCUUGAGCCGGUGUGGCGGGGGCAUUGAAGGAGACAGCUCCCAAGACACGGUAACUGGCAUUCCGGUUCAUGCCCUUGGACCUACUGUCAGGACCGGGUGUGCGGAAGGGGUUUUAGAUACACAGACCAUUUGUUCUAAUUUAAUUCCUAUUUUAAACAUUUCAGUUGACCUAAAGGGACUCUUAAAAGUUUAUUUGGUGAAACUUGGCUUGCCCUAAACUGUAGAAGAAUCUUAACAGGAUCAUCAUUCCAUGGCCUCAAGAUGCUGACUCACUGAGAUUAUGACCAGAUUAAAAACAGCAAAAACAAAAACCAAGGAGGACUAAGUCUUUUGUGCCAUAUUUAAUCUUUGCAAAGCGGGGAAAAAUGCCUUCAAAUCAUGAUAUUCAAAAGCAUGGCCUGGUUGACACAGUUUGCAUCAGGGGAAAACAACGUGGGUUGUACGAGUCUGGGAUGUAUUAUGGUGAAGGCCUUUCCGAGCAAGGCCCCCCGACUCCACGAGGGUCUGCACUGGUUCCGGGGUUCCGGGCUCCGGAAAUGAUGAAGAGCAGCUUCUGAUUUCACAACUGGAUCUUUGCUUCCCCUCCCUUCCCAUGCAUAUCCUAUAUCGCAAGUUUAUUUAUAAAAUACCUCACAGUGGAGUAAUUCAAAGAUUGGUGGAUCUCAAGUGGCUAAGCUGGAACUGGUUAUCAGAGGAAAAACACAUACAGAUGUUCACCUGCUGGACUCACCCUGUUUCAUCGACCUGUUUGAUCUCAGGGGAGCUGCAACGCCAUUUAUUUCAGCCGGUAGGGGACAGAUCCUAAAGAUACUGAAACUGUUUUCUAUUGAGGAUAAACUCUGCACCGUGUUAUGGAUCCUCACCGUUUCUUCUUGAUAGUUGAGAAAACGAGGCCCGGAGUUGAGAAGUGAUUGUCAGGAGGUUACUCAGCUAGCUAAGAAUUUUAGCCAGAACAAAGAGCCCUAUCUUAUAUUCCUCCACUGACCCCUUCUUCCUCCCCUACCGACUUCCUUCUUGAGCCAUACUUGCUGAUGCUUCCAAAGUAGAAAUCCUUGCAACACCAUCUCUUCACUGCAUUUCCUCAUUGCUCAAGAUUUUUACAGAUUCAAGAUGUUCUUUGAAAAGAGAACUUUCCUGAAGUAAGCAAGAAUUCCAGUAAUGCCCCAAGGCAGACUUUUUUUUUUUCUUCCUUUUUGGCUUCAGCUUACCCCUGACUCAUGUCUCUUGAUAACUGAGUUCUUCUAUACCAAGAACUUUAAUGAUUUUCGUCACUGGCUCUUCAGCCGUUCUUUGGCCUGAUUUGUUCUGUUUUCUUGGGUGGUUGGCCAUGAAACUGGAACCUUGAGAAGGAGGAGGCAAGCUCUGCCGUUCACACUCUUCUCAGCCAGAGCUGAUGGUGGCCCACGGAUGUUGUAGCUUAAGAUGGUUUUCUUGGAUAGUACCUUAUGUAGAAUUUGUAGCAAUUUUAGAAUUUCUGAGCAAACCAUUGAAAAUGAUUUCCUCCCUUUGUGGCUUUCAAGAGCUGGUCUUAGCAGUAAGGUGACAGACUCCAUUGACAACUCAGUAGCCUUUGGAAACGAAUGCUCUGGAUGAUGACAGGUGCUUCCAAGGGUCUUCUGCACCUGACCUUAAAGGAAACAGUGGGAGCCCUAAUCCAACGUGACUGGUGUCCUUGUCAGGGGAGAAGGACACACACCAGGGGAAGGUCCCGUGAAGACACAGAAAGAACAUGAACCGUCUGUGAGCCCACAAGAGAGGCCUCACAAGAAGACAGAUGCCUUGAUGCUGGGCUUCCAGUCUCCGGAAGUGUGGCAAAACAACUGUGGCCUUGGAGGUUUGCUGUGACCACUAACAGGAGAAGAAAGACCCGGGCCUGGUUCCUGGACAGUGGGCUCCAUAUCGUGGUGCUAGAAGAGAAUGGAGUUCAGCCACACUGCGGCCUCACUCAGGGGCAGCCUGGGAGCUGGAUCAGCCACUUUGGAUGGAGUGGACGCGUUCCAGGUACUGGUAUGUUUGCAGACUUCUGGCCUGUGUCAGAUGGCUUGGCUGUUGCUCAGGGACCCAAAGGAAGAUGACAGGAUGCAUGUAAAUUUAGGAAGAGGGCGUCAGUGGUCUCAUGGCAGUGGGAACAUACGUGAGCACCUUGUGGAAUGCUAAGUAAUGGCACCGGCCACAAAGGUGACUGCUCCGUGGGUGUCAGCCAGCCUCUGUCCUUAGCCCCAGUGCCUUAGGACGGGCCGUGAAGAGAGUUGGUUAAGGUGUUGGGCGCGAAGGCCAAGUACAAGCUGUCGGCAUGUCUCCCACGCCAUGGCAGAUUUAGAUAACACCACCAUUGCUGCCCAACUUGUCAUCAGCGAAGUGACAUGGUGGCUUGUGUGGGGGCCAGCCACUUGGGGGCAGGUGCUGCUCAGCGGACCAGCUUUGCCCCAGGUGGGAUAAUCACGCUUACCCUGCCAGUAGAAUGGAAGGGUGUCCCGGAGGCGGGGCAAAGUCCAGUUCUGUGGCAGAGCCUUUAGGAUUGCAGUUGGGUCAAGGGGGGCUACGGACAGUAGGCCCAUGGGAGCCACUGCUCCGACUGGAUCUCUUUGUCCAGCCUCCGCUACAAAGACCUGACAGGCGGUGGUGGUAGCAGAUGUGGUGGCAGAAGUGACUCACUUUACUCAGCACCGUCCGUGGGAUCCAACCGUCCGUGGGAUCAAGUGCUCCUGUUAUGCCCAUUUACUGAGGAGGAUGUGGAGGCAGAGAGUCGUUAGGUAACUUGCCCAUGUUUAUUGACACCCCUGGAGAGACUGGAUUGGAAUCCAGCGUCGGCCUCCCGGCCGACUGCCUUCUGGUGUUGGUUCGCUCUGUGAGGUGUGUGUGGUCCCCGAGCCCUGCUGGAGGAAUUCUGCAGCUCCAGUUCUGGGCUCUGAGUUCUUGCUGUGGAUACACCACACUCUGUCCAUGCACUGUUUGACUGUUCUAGAACCCAGAUUCGGCGAAACUUCUAGAUCCUGCGAAUCACUCCGUAGACUGGUUUCCAAUCUCUGUUAGUGGCAGGUGCAGGCUGGUGUGUGCUUCCAAGGGAACAUUCAAGUAAUGAACAGAUAUUUUUAGCCAUUGGAGAGAAAUCUUCCCGCAAGAAGAAGGACCUCAGAUACCCCCGAUGAUGUCAACACUCCACAUGGCUCCUCCUCCUCCGGCUCACUCCAGGGAAAAACCCUGUGCCUCCAGCUUGUCCCUGGAAGGGCUUGAACUACACAUCUGGCACCAUGACUGUUCCAGCUCUUGUCUGACUUCCAACCCGCCAAUCUCUGAGGCUGACAUGCAGGCAAUUGCUUCUCCCCAGGAUCUACUGUGAAUAAAAGGGCAAGUUUUGAAUGGCCCAGCUCUUCCUUCUGGUUCCCCCCAGCUGCUCACUGAGUUAGUUUUCCUGUUCCUACAAAGGAGCCUGGCACCAUCGGGUAUACGGCAUCCCUUGCCCCGACUGGGAGCCUGGGGCGAGUUCCCCAGAGCUGUGUGCAAAGCAGGUGUGUGAGGUGUGCAAGGGGUGUGUGUGUGAGACAGACUCAGACCCAUGCCUUCCUAACAAGGAACUGCCGUCCACAAGUGGGGCUGUGUCUUCUGUCUCGCCCUUCCCCACUGUCUUUGCCAGGCCACCCUCCCCCUCUAGUUCAGAGGCCUAAUUCUGGUGCUCAGAACCCUAGUUUUGAAUCCAAAGCUCCCUUUACUGUUCUUUGCAGCUUUCUACUAAAAGUGGCAUUCAUGGAAAUCUUUCCUCUAACCCAAGGGGACAUUGUAGACCAGACCCCUAUCAUGACAUUUGUCACUCUUCCAAUAGCUUCAAAGGUAAAGCAAUCUCAUUAUAUACAUUAUCUGGGAUACAGAAAAUGCUGAGAACCCUCACUGGAAUAGGUCUUGCCCAGAUCGGAACAGGGCUGUGAAUUUAUUGCAGACACAUUUCCAGUGGCUUCCCUGCCAUGUUUUACCUUCGCCAAGUUUUAUUCUUACAUUAGUUAGUCAGGAAAUGACUGUUUCCAAGAAACUCUGACAACAUCCUGAGAAAGAGUGACUGAGUCAGAGUUUUGCAUAAUCAGGAAUCCUGAGGAAUGUGGAAGCCCAUGGACAGGAUGCAGCAAAAACACAAUUUGCUAAGUGGCUGUGCCUGGGUUUGAGGAAAGUACAACUUUCAAAAUGCUUCUCAUAAUUUGAAAAUAGGAUGGGAAAGAUAGGCUUUUGAUUUUGGACUACAAAUAGCUUUCUUUCAAGGAUCACUGUGGCUAGUGGUCAUCGGGACCUCUUCCCUUUGGUGGGGGUCCCAACCCCAACUUAGGCACAUUUGACCACUAGUGUCCAAGGAACAACAGAUAAGUGCCAUUCUGGAUUAAUUUUUGAUGCAUCUGUCCAAAGUAAAAAAUUAACCUGAAGCUGCUUUCCAGUGUUGCCAAAUUUGCUGCUUUUAGGAGAUUUGAAAUAGCUGCUUGAACCAGGAGGGAUUCUUAGAAGUGCUUCAACCUUUAGGCAGAAUGCUUAGAGUGUUUAAUGACAACCUCUAGAAAAUUCUGAGGGCCAAAGCUGAUGGCAAAUGUGGCCUGAGCUGGUUUCUCAAACUCUUCCCUGACUACGUGGGUAGCCAUCUGGAACAAGUGUGGGAACACAGAAGAAAUCCUUGGCCUUAUAGAGCCCACCCUUAGCUUCCUUGCUCCAACAUGCCUCCCUGUACAGAUGGAGAUUAUUUCAUUAGAGCAAAAUGCCAGAAUAGUAACAUUCUUUUUCUUUCCCAUGUUCUGUGAUACGAUUUUUUAUCUCUUUGCUGAAUUAAACCUUCAGUUCUGAGUGUGUCUUUGGAAAGCCUGCUCUCCUAGUAGGCUCUCACAUGUUCAAAGGUAGGUAAGUAGGUGAGGAAGGAGGAGUUGUACAGGGUGAGGGCCCAGCUGAUAUGCAUAAUCUCCCACAGACCUAGGAGACCUCAGGCAUGUUAGAAAGUCUAAGGAAACUUUUUUGUUCUUUGGCCAGCAUCAAUCAAAUUAUAGUUGGAGUGAUUUUCCAGCAUCUUGCACAAACUGGGAGCUAAUUUUGAAGCAUUUCCAUCUUUUAAUUUCUUCUUGCCCACCUCCUGUCCCAAAGGGGUAAAAAUGCUGGCAUGGUCAGAGACUAAGAGCAAGCCGAAGGCUAGGGCUGCAGAUAUGGGGCAGAGACCAAGCAAGGGAAGGGGAAGCUGCAGGAGAAAGCCAGUCAGGAGUGCACAGCCAACAGGGCUGCAGACUGUAGCCAUAGGGAGGGACAGAAAUCAAGUCCAAGUGGCAUCAGAGGAGAUUCGGCUUAGUGGGAGGCAGUGAGCAGUGUGGUGGCUGAGCCUGGCAGUAGGGUCAGAGCAACGCUUCUGGGGUAGAGGAAAAUCUUCCUGAAGUGUGGAAGUCCCUUGUUACAGUGGGUCCAGUCAGGGCAUUCCUUGAAUUAAGGGAAAAGAAUAAAUGGAACUCACAAGAUGAGGACGUGGGAAUGAGUCCGAAAAUCAGACUCCAGCCUACUGACUAGGGUUUCAGACACACAUAAACAGACCAUGUGCAUGGAGGACAAAGGGGCCCCCAAGUGACUGCCAUGUACGACACAGUUCAGGGAUGCAGAGCCAUUGUUCUCAGCUGUGGUCAGGUCCAAAGUCUGCUGGCUGGUGGGUACAGGGCUUGUGCUGUCCCCUGAGAUGCUGUAGGGUUGGGGAGAGACUGUGCAGAGUUGAUGGUAAACAUGACCUGUAGAGGAGCUGGUGUGGACCCAGGAGCUGAGCUUCACACAUCCACUUCUUGCCUUCUAGAAACCUGCCCUAGUAACAGUAGCUGUGCACCCUUUGUGCCGCUCCUCUGCCCGAGGUGGACAGUGCUCAUUGGUCACAGCAGCACAGCAGAGUGGUUAAGGGCACGUGUUCUGGAGUUAGGCCUGUGUCUCCAACAGCUUCUCCUCUAACAAUGCAUGGGUAAGUUACCUCAUAAAAUGAAGAGCCCUCAUCUGCAAAUAUUACCCAUCUCAAAAGUUUUUAGGAAGAGUGAAUGAAAUAAUUGUAUAAAAUAUUUAGCACAGGACCUGGCCCACUAUUUGCUCUUAAUAAACAGAAUCCCUGACAAUGAAAUAUUUAUGAAAUUAUGUGUGAAGUCAUUAAUAAUAAAAUCAUUACUAACAUUCUUCGUAUUUCCUACUGCUGAGUGAAGAAUUGGCUUUACCCAAAGGGAUGUCUGGCCUUUGUCCCUGGCUCCUGGGAGGUAACCUCUAAAUCCGUGGAAUUAUCCCAGGGAUUGGCACCUCUUCGUGAUUUGUGGUGGGCUGCUUGACCAGAUCUGAUAGCUCAUGCUUAGAUGACUCAGGGUGAGGAGCUGGCCAAACCAGAAAGAUCAAACAUGUGAUGUGAGGGGUGGCACUUUGGACAGCCACAUGGGACAUGGUUCAAUCAGUCAUGCCUGUGUAAUGAAACCCCAACACAGACUAUGGACACCGAGCUCAGGGGCCCCGAGGUGUUAAUGCUCUGUCUGCAUAUUUCCGUAGAUAGAUACUGAGAAGGUGUCCCGGAGGGCAUGGAACCUUCCUAUUCCCUGAUUCAACCCUAUGUGCUUAGUCCAUUUGGGCUGCUGUGACAAAACUACCACAAACUGGGUGGCUCAUAACAACAUAAAUUCAUUUCUCACAGUUCUGGAGGCUGGGAAAUCCAAGAUCAUGACACUGGCAGAUAUGGUAUGUAGGGAGAGCUUCCGGACCAUGGAUGUUCCACAUGUCCUUACGUGGUGGAAAGGGUGAGGGAACUCUCUGGGGCCUCUUUAUAAGAGCACUAAUCCCAUUCAUGAGAGUGCCACCCUCAUGAUCUUAUCACCUCCCCAAAGCCCUCCUCCUAAUAUCGUCUCACUAGGGGUUAAGUGUUAUACGAAUUUGGGAGACACAGACAUUCAGUCUGUAGUAGUGUCUCUUCCUUUAGCAGGCACUGAUUGUUAUGGAAAUACAAAGUGCUAUGGAAAGCCCCUGUGAUUGUAGCAUGGUGUUUUUCCUGAGUUCUGUGAGUCAUUCUAGCAAAUUUUCAAGUCUGAGAGAGUCCAUGGGCAUCCGUGAAUUUGUAGCUAGGUGAUCUGAAGGGAGGGUGUCCAUGGACAUCUGAGUACCGGUGGCUGGUGUCAGAAGUCUUGGACAGACCUGGCAGCCUGGAGCACAAUGCUCUUAACCUGGACUUUCAUUCCAGGUAUGUGCUGGUCUCACAGCCUCAGAGUCCUGCUUAACACAAGGCUCUGGGCAGCCAUUACAUCAUUUGAAUUGCAUUUGAGAAGUCUGUUUGCAGUCCUUGUCCUCUUCUAGCAUUCUUGUGCUUAAAGUCCUUCUAGAAAUGCCCACCUCCUAUUAAAUUACCCGCUGCAAUUAUUCACAUAUUCUAAAACCACAUCAUCACACUUGUGUGCAGUUGCAAACUUCCAGUUCCUUCGUGUACUUUCUGGAAACCCCAUAUUCCUUGUACAAUCCUAUGAAGCAUAUACUACCUUGUACAAAUAGGGCGUGCAAUGACAUUGAAUUGACUGCAUAACUAUUGACUCCACUUUUGUGAAGUGCAAGGCAUUGCUAAAUGGUCAUAUGGCCAAGCCAUAAACAUACAAGGGACAACAGUUCAUUCUGUGUCUCCGAGAACCGAAUUAUCUCACCCCUGCCCAGAGAGAACUUGCUUUCGUUGUGUCACUCUUGGCUCUCAGUUAAGCCCAUCGCUUUCUACAGAGUGAGUGCAGGGUAUCCUCCAUGGAAGAGAGGGGCACCUUUUAUUCAGAGCACCUCCUAUAUUUACUUCCAGCCUCCCCAUACUCUCUUGGUAUGUGCUUCGUUCUAGAUGGUGGGCAGUGAAGUCUUUAAUUACUGGCAUGCAGCCUUCAAGCUCUCUCCUGUCAUGCAGUUGAGGGGUCCAUGUGCUAGAGGUGGCGUAGUUCCCAGAUGGUGAAGCCACUGGUGUCCUGUGUCCCUGAGUAUUUGUGGAGCAGUGAUCCCACCCACACUUUUUGGACAUGUACUGUUAAUGAGAAAUUCAUCUUUGUUUUCCUCUUUAGUUUUGGUUUAUUUGUUUUGUUUCCACAGAAUGACCUAAUGUUAUCUUGAUCAAUGGACAGACUCACAGUUCAUGGUAAUGUGUCCAACCACACUGCAGCUACUAGCUGUGACUUGAAAGCAAAAGAAAACAGAGAUUAGCAUUUGUCCUGAGUGGUGGUAAAACCAAUAAUAAAGGAAAGAAGAGGCAAAAUUCAUAUAUUUUUGUUAUGCUUCUGUUAUUUCAUCUUUAAAUUGGAGAAAAAGCUGUUUAAAAUACUCGUUUUGCAAUAUAUACUUGGGAAGCUAGAUGUGGUAUAAAGCCAGGUUUCUCAAACCUGGCUUUAUUGAUAUUUGGGAUGGGUAAUUCUUUGUUAUAGAGGCUGUUGUUAUACACCGUCAGUGUUUAACAGCAUCCCUGGUCUCUACCCACCAGAUGACAAUAGCAUCACUCACUACCCCCUCCGAGUUGACAAUCACAGAUGUCUUCAGACAUUGCCAGUGGCCCCUGCUAUGCAAUGUCAUCCUCUGGUUGAGAACCACUGGCACAGAAGAAAGAAACUCUGGCUUAGAAUGGGAGGGCUUCUUAAGUUUAUUUCUGCCACUCACUAGCUCCCUGAUCCUGGGUAACCGAGGCCAUGGAGGCUCCAGUUUCCUCAUCUAUAAAACUGAAAUAAUAACCACUAUUCAGAGCAUUCAGAAAUUCAUGUACACAACACGUUCACUUUUUAAGCUGUAAGGCACUGUGCAUAUGGAAGUUAAACUCCUCAGGUUGCCAUUUAUUUUCUAUGUUGUGCACAAAAAAUGCUUUUAACAUAAGAAUGUGUACUUCGUGAUUUUCUUAUCCUCAUGAUUGAGGGAUGCUUCAUAGAUCAUCUUGGGCUGUCAGGUUCGUGUGGGAUACCUUCCUGCUUGACUUUCAUCCCCUCCCUUUUGAUGCCUGUGCCUGUCUUCAUAUUUCUCCCACCUGCUGGAUCUUGUCUUUGGUACCCAGAAUACCUUGAAGGUUUUCUACCCUUCACUCAUCUGAACCUUUCUUGCUCAAUCUAAAGGAACAUGUUUCCCCUCCUGCAAAAGCAUCAAACCUCAUUCCCUUCAGGUUUGGCUCCCGGCCACUGAAAGUGCUAGAUAGUAAUGUGAUGAACAGGUUGAAAGCUAAGACGGCGAGGCUGAUUGGCUUCUACAUCUCUCGAGCAUCAUCUCUCCACAGUUCCAUUCCAUUUACCCUUACCAACGUUACAAUUGCUUUGUGUCCUUGUCAGUGCUUGGCGUUACCAUUCUCUUCAGUUUCAGCAAUUCCGGUAGGUCUGUGUUGGUAUUUCAUUUUGGUUUUAAGAAGGCAUUCUCAGAGGUGUGUUCCCUGACCUAAAGAAAAGAGUAAUCCCUCGUUACAGGACAUGUUGAGAGACUAUAGCAUCGUGGACUUUCAGGAGACAGGAGGACACAUUUUUUGUGAACUUGCUACGUGUUAAACACAACAUGAGACAUUCCACCCAAAUGAUUACAUUUACUGCUUCCAACUGUUCUAUACAUGAAGCUUCACUUUUCCCCCUUUAUGGAUUAAAAAAACAGACUUUGGAAAUAUUUAAUAAUUUACCCCAAAUCUCAUAUUUAUGAAGUUUUGGCUCACGGCAUAUCAUGCAGAUGACUGCAGGUUCCUUCUCACAUUGGCACUGAUAUGGGGAAUUGCCUGUUUCUAUCACGGAGAGAGAAUAAAAUGCUGCCUGUGGAGAGAGGAGAAGUUCAGGGCAUUUCGAAGCCAUGUUGGGCUUUGCGUGGGAAAGGCAAGAAUUGGACCUGGCUGUCAAUGUGCUUGGGGCAUUUCUGGGCACACCUGUCCACGUUCCUUUGCAAAAACGCACACUCUGGCCGGAUGAGAAGACAGAGCCAUGCAGAGGGUCAGACAUCUUGCCCAAGGACUGAGCUGGAAACCCAGGCAUGUGAGGCACAUGAAACACCAUGUGUGUUACACAGCCUUCUGUGAGUAUGAAAUGUGGUUUUACAGACGGGUCUUCAGGGAUCAUGAGCGUGGGGCUGGAUGGUGUGAUUUCAGACCCUGGGCUCAGGGAGACUCCGUGAUGAAGCCUUGCUUGCCAGCUUUCACACGCUUUCCUUGUAACUUCUAACUGAACCAGAUAAAGCAGCCACAUUCUCUACUUCCUCUCCUCUCUGCUCUUCCCACUUCCUUCUCUUCUUAGUUUUUGGAUGGAAAUGGCAUUAUGGUUCAUGCACCUUUCUGUAGUGCAGAUAAAUCAGCUGGCCCUACCCAGAAAGCACUGCUCCACUGUGAGCCCGACUAUUCCUUUUGUUACAAAUGAAACAUUUUGAACAUACUCUGGGUUAUUGAUGCCCAUGUACCCAGUGCUGAGAUUUUUAACACAUGUGAAUAUUCUGCAGUAUUUGCCCUACAACUUUUAAAUUAAGAAAUGAGAUGUUUCAGGUCAGGUUGAGAGUAUACCAUCCACCCCAGAUCAACUUCACAAAACAAAACUUCUGAUUUCCCACCGAAUAUGUUCAUGCCUCAGACUCCUCCCUGUCAGUAAAAGGUGUUCACAUUCCCCCACCUGCUUAGCAUGAAGGAUCUUUCCCUGACUCCCGUCUUUCCUUCACGCCGCACCCCUGCAGUGCAUCAAUUGAUCCACGAUUUCUCCCAAAUACACAGUCUCCCUGUAUCCUCAUCUCCCUCCCAGGCUUUGGUGAUCAUCUCCCAGAUGGUCCCCCUGUUUCCCCCCAUCUUCUACAGUCAGUCUGUCACACCACAACCCAGUGAUUCCUAAAGAGCAAGUUAUAUCCAGUCACUGCCAGCUGUGGACUGAACAUUUGUGUCCCUAAAAUUCCUGUUAAAACCUAAUCCCCAGAGCGAGGUAGUAGGAGGCGGGGCCUUUGGGAAAGGCCUGGGCGGAGCCCAGGCAUGAGGCCAGGCUCGAGGCCAGGCUUCGAGCCCAGGCUCGAAGGCACGAGGGCAGAGCCUUCACGAAUGGGAUUAGGGCCCUAAUGAGAGAACCCACGGAGCUCCCUAGCUCCUUCCCCCGGGUGAGGACACAUCGAGAAGAUGGCCAUCUGGAAGGUGGGUUCUCACCAGACCCUGAAUCUGCUUGCACCUUGAUCUUGGACUUCCGGCCUCCAGAACUGUGAGAAAUAAAUGUCUGUUGUUUAUAAGUCGCCGAGUCUGUGGCAUUCUAUUAUAGUAGCCUGAACGGACUGAGACACUCCUCAUAUCGUAUUCAGAAAUGAUCCACAUUUGUCAUGGUGGCUGCCAGGGGCCAACACCAUCUGGGCUAUUGGUCUGUCUGGCCUCUUGCCUCCCUCCAGCUCUGGCCUGUCUGCUGCUCCUUGAGCACGACAAGCUCAUUCCUGCUCUGGGCUCUUCUUUCUGGAGAGCUUGUUCCCCGGAUCUUCACUGGCUCCUUCCCUUCCUUCCCUCAGAUCCCCACUCAAGGGCAUGUCCUCUGGGAGAUAUUCCCACACAGAUUCCCUGCAUCAGUACACUGCAUUCUCUCCUUCUGCUCCAUUUUUCCCAUUGUGUUUAUAAACAACUGAGAUCAUUACAUAUUCAUUGGUUUGUCUCUCUCACAUCCCUGGACUCGGAAUAUAAACUUCGUAAAUUUGUCUUGCUCUUCACAGCAUCCCUCAUACCUAUGUGUCUGGCACAGAGUAAAUCCUUAAUACGCACUUACUGAAUGGGUGACCAGAUCUCAUUAGCUUGCUUUCCUCCAAAAGUGGCUACUAUUUUUAAGUUGAUUGGUUUUAAGCCUACUUCCACAUUGCUAUAUUUAUCACAUAUUUAUGUACCCAUGUAGAUUUCGUGUAAACCUGAGUGCAAAAUUUUCACACAAAUGACAUCAUAUUGUACAUAUUGCUUUGCAACUUGACUUUUCUUUUCUGAUCCCAAAAUGUCUUUAGGAUUAAUCCAUGUUGACCCUUGUAGGUUUAGUUAUACAACAUAACUGUUGUGUAGUGUUCCACUGAAUGAAUAAAUGGUUUAUUUAUCCAUCCCCCUACUGAGUUAUAGUUAAGUUGUGUUUAUUUUGGAGGGAGGGGUCUCUCAUGCGCGUGGGUGAGAGUUCCUCUAGGUAAGACCCAUAGAAGUAGAACCAUUGGACCAGAGGUUAAAGGCAACUGCAACAUUGCUGGAUCUAUCAAGUGGCCAAAACUGUUGGUAUCAUUUUAUAAAGUGUAAUUCCAUUUCCCACAUCCUAAUCAACAUUUCUAGUUAUCAUAUUUAAAAAUUUUACAUAUCUGACAGGUGUCUUAUGUAUCUCAUUUUCAUCUUGCAUUUCCCCCAUUAUUACACUUGUGUCUUUCUCCUCCCCAUAUGCUUAUUGGUCAUUCAAGUUUCUUCCCUUCUAGGUUCCUUGUUCAUAUUUGUGCCUGUUUUGCUCUUGGGUUGUUUGUCCCUUAUUGGCUUGAAGGGGCUGUUUAUGAAUGCUCUAUAAAAAUACUUGGUGGUUUAUUCGCAUUGCAAAUAUCAUCUCACAAUCUGUGGGUUUCUUUUCAAUUUAUUUAUAGUGUCUUUUUUUCUGUAUGUGUCUCAAAUUUAAUGCAGUAUUGUCCUUCAUGUUUGACUUGUCUCUAUAUAUUUUAAAGAAAUCCUUCCUAGCUCUUAUAUUAUAAAAAUGUUCUCCUAUAUUUUCUUCUAAACUCUGAAGUUUGCUUUCUUUUCUUA